rnacentral:rRNA from 1 species
UACCAGCACCCCGAGUGGUCGGGACGAUUAUUGGGCCUAAAGCAUCCGUAGCCGGCCUUACAAGUCCUCCGUUAAAUCCAGCUGCUUAACAGAUGGGCUGCGGAGGAUACUAUAAGACUAGGAGGCAGGAGAGGCAAGCGGUACUCAGUGGGUAGGGGUAAAAUCCGUUGAUCCAUAGAAGACCACCAGUGGCGAAGGCGGCUUGCCAGAGCGCGCUCGACGGUGAGGGAUGAAAGCUGGGGGAGCAAACCGG